rnacentral:rRNA from 1 species
UACGAGGAGAGCAAGCGUUAUCCGGAUUUAUUGGGCGUAAAGCGUGCGCAAGCGGUUUUGCAAGUGAGAUGUUAAAGCCCAAAGCUCAACUUUGGAAUCGCACCUCAUACUGCAAGACUAGAAGCAAGAAGAGGCAAACGGAAUUCCCGGUGUAGUAGUGAAAUGCGUUGAUAUCGGGAGGAACACCAAAAGCGAAAGCAGUUUGCUGGUCUUGUCUUGACGCCGUUGCACGACAGCGUGGGGAGCAAACGGG